UGGGGAAUAUUGCACAAUGGGCGCAAGCCUGAUGCAGCAACGCCGCGUGAACGAUGAAGGUCUUCGGAUCGUAAAGUUUUGUUGCAGGGGAAGAUAAUGACGGUACCCUGUGAGGAAGCCCCGACUAACUACGUGCCAGCAGCCGCGGUAAUACGUAGGGGGCUAGCGUUAUCCGGAUUUACUGGGCGUAAAGGGUGCGUAGGUGGUCUUUCAAGUCGGUGGUUAAAGGCUACGGCUCAACCGUAGUUAGCCUCCGAAACUGGAAGACUUGAGUGCAGGAGAGGAAAGUGGAAUUCCCAGUGUAGCGGGGAAAUGCGUAGAUAUUGGGAGGAACACCAGUAGCGAAGGCGGCUUUCUGGACUGCAACUGACACUGAGGCACGAAAGCGUGGGUAGCAAACAGG
rnacentral:rRNA from 1 species